rnacentral:rRNA from 1 species
UACGUAGGGGGGCGAGCGUUGUCCGGAAUCAUUGGGCGUAAAGAGCUCGUAGGCGGUUUGUUGCGUCGGCUGUGAAAUCCCGAGGCUCAACCUCGGGUCUGCAGUCGAUACGAGCAAACUAGAGUGUUGCAGGGGAGACUGGAAUUCCUGGUGUAGCGGUGAAAUGCGCAGAUAUCAGGAGGAACACCGGUGGCGAAGGCGGGUCUCUGGGCAACAACUGACGCUGAGGAGCGAAAGCCGUGGGGAGCGAACAGG